rnacentral:rRNA from 1 species
GAAUAUUGGUCAAUGGAGGCAACUCUGAACCAGCCAUGCCGCGUGCAGGAAGAAUGCCCUAUGGGUUGUAAACUGCUUUUAUUUGGGAAUAAACCUUGGUACGUGUACCAAGCUGAAUGUACCAAACGAAUAAGCACCGGCUAACUCCGUGCCAGCAGCCGCGGUAAUACGGAGGGUGCAAGCGUUAUCCGGAAUCAUUGGGUUUAAAGGGUCCGCAGGCGGACUUAUAAGUCAGUGGUGAAAGCCCAUCGCUUAACGAUGGAACUGCCAUUGAUACUGUAAGUCUUGAAUUCGGUCGAAGUGGGCGGAAUAUGUCAUGUAGCGGUGAAAUGCUUAGAUAUGACAUAGAACACCGAUAGCGAAGGCAGGUCACUAGGCCUGGAUUGACGCUCAGGGACGAAAGCGUGGGAGCGAACAGGA